UGGGCAGUACUAAAGUGCUUUUAGUGCAGGUAGUGAUUAUUGUCUACUGCCCUGAGAGCACUGACAGUACUUCCAG
rnacentral:pre_miRNA from 1 species